CCCUUAGAUGUUCUGGGCUGCACGCGCGCUACACUGAUGCACUCAACGAGUUUACGACCUUGCCCGAUAGGGUUGGGUAAUCUUUUUAAAAUGCAUCGUGAUGGGGAUAGAUUAUUGCAAUUAUUAAUCUUCAACGAGGAAUUCCUAGUAAGCGCGGGUCAUCAUCCCGCGCUGAAUACGUCCCUGCCCUUUGUACACACCGCCCGUCGCUCCUACCGAUUGAGUGGUCCGGUGAGGCUUUGGGAUCUGAGCGGAAAGAGCGUUUCGCUGUUUCUGCCCGGAAAACUCAGUCGAACCUUAUCAUUUAGAGGAAGGAGAAGUCGUAACA
rnacentral:rRNA from 1 species